CACCAUAGCAACAGUGAAAAGUUUGGUCUCAAAACAAAUCUUCUGCUUUGGCCUGUAAGAAAAAUCUAUUUACAGAGCUCACUUUCCCAAAUGUAGUGUAGUGUGACUGAUUGCUAUGGUCCUGUCCAAACCUUUAAGUCACAAACCUGGAGAUGAAGGCAUUCCGUGAUAGACCCUGAACCCCGUGGACUUUUGAGACUAUCGCAGCACAGACAGCCCUUGUACAGGUUCUGCUCCAACCGACAGCUGGCAAUCCUUCUACACUGUGGCUAACUACGCAUUGUGCAGGGAUAUGGGGACCAAAAGACAAGUCGAUCCUUAUGUCAUCUGGAAGACUGAAUUCAAACCUGAACAACCACUGCUUGAAUGGACAGCUGCUAGCAAGCCAUGUAGGUCCUCUGCCCCUCAGUUACCCUUCAAUGAGAGACUGCAAUGAUGCCUACCUGAGUGGCUUGAGAGUUCCCACUCCUUGCCAUUGAAAAAAGAAAAGAAAAGAAAAAGUCGCUGCCUUAGAAGGAGGUGCUGGAAUUUUGGCAAAUUCUGUUUAAAGAAAUCAAUGAGAAACGGA
ensembl:lncRNA AABR07047191.1